rnacentral:rRNA from 1 species
CCUACGGGAGGCUGCAGUGGGGAAUAUUGGGCAAUGGGCGCAAGCCUGACCCAGCAACGCCGCGUGAAGGAAGAAGGCUUUCGGGUUGUAAACUUCUUUUGACAGGGAAGAGUAGAAGACGGUACCUGUCGAAUAAGCCACGGCUAACUACGUGCCAGCAGCCGCGGUAAUACGUAGGUGGCAAGCGUUGUCCGGAUUUACUGGGUGUAAAGGGCGUGUAGCCGGGUUGACAAGUCAGAUGUGAAAUCCUACGGCUUAACCGCAGAACUGCAUUUGAAACUGUUGAUCUUGAGUACUGGAGAGGCAGACGGAAUUCCUAGUGUAGCGGUGAAAUGCGUAGAUAUUAGGAGGAACACAAGUGGCGAAGGCAGUCUGCUGGACAGCAACUGACGGUGAGGCGCGAAAGCGUGGGGAGCAAACAGGAUUAGAUACCCUUGUAGUC